ACUGUCGUUCUUUGUGGAGCCAGAUGGUGAUUGCUGAGGAAGAGUUCUAAGGUCAUCAUCAGGAAAGUGGGCCACCGAAGCAAGGUGUCAGCAUCUGAACUGGCCCAGCAGCUCAGCAGCAUGUCAGCGGAUGGGAAAGAGUGGUUUCCUCAAGGGCCUGGAUGGAUACAGAUGUCAGCAGGAAGAGAGGCCUGGAAAGCUUGACAAAAGGGUCAAUGAUUCAGCUGUAUUCUUGUGAAUGAGAUGGUUUUCCAAAUCUACCCGGGCUAUAAAUAUCCCUACCCUGCCGUCUUCCCGUACCACAUCUCAUCUGCGUACAGCCCCUUUCUUCCCUUUUGUGGAGAGAGACAGAGCAUGAACGGCGGAGAGUCAGAG